rnacentral:rRNA from 1 species
UGUUGCUAUCUUAGUGGCGGACGGGUGAGUAACGCGUGGGUAACCUGCCUUACACUGGGGGAUAACACUUAGAAAUAGGUGCUAAUACCGCAUAACAGGAGAAGAUGCAUGUCUUUUCCUUAAAAACUCCGGUGGUGUAAGAUGGACCCGCGUCUGAUUAGCUUGUUGGCGGGGUAACGGCCCACCAAGGCGACGAUCAGUAGCCGGCCUGAGAGGGUGAACGGCCACAUUGGGACUGAGACACGGCCCAAACUCCUACGGAAGGCAGCAG